GCGACAAGCGGUGAAGCUAGGCAUUCCAUUUCAGACGUCCAAAGAGAAGGGAAUCAAUCUCGCUUUGUCAGCCUCAAUAGACCAUCUUCACGACUACAAAUAGAAAUAAAUUUUUACCUUCAAAACUGUGGACUUCUCCAGCUAGGAGACAAAAUGGAUUCAGCUCUUAGCGAAACUGAAAGAAAAUUGGAAGAAAAUGGCUCAUAUUGGGAUAAUGUCGGCAACUACAUGGGUAUCCUCAGUGUCACCUUCUUCAUGGUUACCAUCCUCCAAAUUUUAGCGAUGGUAUGGGAUUCACUGGGGAAGAAUGUUGGGAAAUCAAACAAAUCAGUUUCUGCAAGAGAAGAAAACGAGCAAAAGCAAAAUGCCGAAACCACGCGGAUCUAUGAAGCCCUGGAAAAAUUAGCCAAAGUGUCCAUUUCCAACAAUUAUUAAUCAAUUUCACGCUUAAUAUAAUCAUCGCCCACUGUUAAUACAUCUAUUUAAAUACAUGGUGUUGUUCUAA